rnacentral:rRNA from 1 species
UACGUAGGGUGCAAGCGUUAUCCGGAAUUAUUGGGCGUAAAGAGCUCGUAGGCGGUUUGUCACGUCUGCUGUGAAAACUGGAGGCUCAACCUCCAGCCUGCAGUGGGUACGGGCAGACUAGAGUGCGGUAGGGGAGAUUGGAAUUCCUGGUGUAGCGGUGAAAUGCGCAGAUAUCAGGAGGAACACCGGUGGCGAAGGCGGGUCUCUGGGCCGAAACUGACGCUGAGGAGCGAAAGCGUGGGGAGCGAACAGG